GUAUGACUUCUCGGUUGACGUUCUCAUCUUGUUUACGUGUGUUAAAUGAGGCAGUAGUGCAACCUGAAUAUAUAAACUGAAAGCUUGAUUAAUCUCACGAAAUGCAACGAUCAAUAAUUCACCAAACUAAGUUAAAGACAGCCGAUACAUAACGAACGAUAACAAUCCAUGUGUUAAAAAGAAAUGGUAUAGUCGGUUUAAAUCGAACCUUACGAUAUAUUGCCGGAGAUUGUCGACGAAGUUUUUAUUACCCAAACGACUUUUAAUAACACGGAUAUUGACUUUGCGAUUGGGCAGUGAAGACUUCCCGUUCUGCAAAUACGGUUUACAAUAUGGAAAGCAGUGGAGAGUCCUUAACUGAGUAUGCUGUUAAUAUGCUUAACAUGGAUCUUUCUGGCCUAAGUGACGUUGAGAUGGGGAUCAUAGAAGAUGAAACUGCAGCCAAAGAUAUCAGUAA